rnacentral:misc_RNA from 1 species
GAUGAAGAACGUAGCGAAAUGCGAUACGUAAUGUGAAUUGCAGAAUUCCGUGAAUCAUCGAAUCUUUGAACGCACAUUGCGCCGCCUGGCACUCCGGGGGGCAUGCCUGUCCGAGCGUCAUUUCUGCCCUCCAGCCCGGCUGGGUGUUGGGCGCUGUCCCCCCGGGGACACGCCCCAAAGGCAGUGGCGGCGCCGCGUCGGGUCCUCGAGCGUAUGGGGCUUUGUCACCCGCUCGGGACGGACUCGUCUGCGCUGGUCUUCCUCCAGGCGACCCUUCGGGGCUCGUCUUCCUUCGGUUGACCUCGGAUCAGGUAGGGUUACCCGCUGAACUUAAGCAUAUCAAUAAGCGGAGGA